ACGGGUGUAGCUCAAUUGGUAGAGUAGCGGUCUCCAAAACCGUCGGUUGGGGGUUCGAUUCCUCCCACCCGUG
rnacentral:tRNA from 1 species